rnacentral:rRNA from 1 species
AUUGAACGCUGGCGGCAUGCUUUACACAUGCAAGUCGAACGGCAGCACGGGGGCGAACCCUGGUGGCGAGUGGCGAACGGGUGAGUAACACAUCGGAACGUGCCCAGUUGUGGGGGAGUAACCUAUCGAAAGGUAGGCUAAUACCGCAUGAGCUCGGCAAGAGGAAAGCGGGGGACUCAGCGAUGGGCCUCGCGCGACUGGAGCGGCCGAUGUCCGAUUAGCAGUUGGUGGGGUAAGGCUUACCAAGGCGACGAUCGGUAGCUGGUCUGAGAGGAUGAUCAGCCACACUGGGACUGAGACACGGCCCAGACUCCUACGGGAGGCAGCAGUGGGGAAUCUUGCGCAAUGGGCGAAAGCCUGACGCAGCGACGCCGCGUGAGGGAUGACGGCC